AUGAAAAGUUUUGGAGUAUUCACGGACUAUGUAAGUUCACUGUCUCUUAAUAUCAUCAAAUCAGUUAGUAAAAUCAAGGGGAAAUUAAGCAGAAAUCAUUGCCAUCAGCAUGUCUUUCUUUUUGUAGGUGCCCUCCCAGUUGGCCAAGUCAAAUCCGUUCUUCAAACCAACUCUUUGUCCCUACUACCACUUGGAUUCAAGGUCGCAGAUUCCACUUUGUGAGUAUGUUUAUUCUUGCUUCCUUCAUUCACACAUAAUUAUUGAUAAUCUGCCACUUUCAAUAAAAAUGAGCUUACGUGUCUAUAUACUUAAAUU
rnacentral:lncRNA from 1 species